CAAAUCUUGCAGAAAGCUAUUCAGGAACACGGGCGAGGCCAGGUAAUGGACUCCCUGGCAGAAAUUCAGGAACGUCAUGGGGCCGUUAGAGACUAUGUUCGACAUUGUUGUUUUAAUUACUGUUUGAUGCUUUACAUUGUUGUUCUUUGAAUGUAAAGGUACUAAUUUAGCAAGAUGUACACAUUUUCCAGGUGAAAUCAGGAACUAUGUUCGACAACGUCUUGGUCUGCGAUGAUCCUGAUUAUGCAAAGAAGCUCACAGAGGAAACAUGGGGAAAACAAAAGGAGGGCGAGAAGGCAGCCUUUGAUGAGGAAUUAGAACUGUGCUUGGGUCGCGAAGUGUGUAGGUAUUGAGCCUGGCACGAUUGCCAUAGAGUUGGAGGGCAUUGAUGGAAGAUAAAGAGGGAUGAUACAACAUUUGAGAAGCAAAGUGCUCCUUUUGCUUUGGCGAUUUCAGACUUUGUACUGAUAAACAUGUUGAGCAGUUAAGAAAGAGGUUUAUCCAUUCUAUUGCUCCAGGAGAGGAGGGCUUGCCGGUGAUAGACGCUGUGUAGUCCCUGCUUCAGGAUUUAGUUUUAGUGCACAGCAGAUAUGUUAAAGUUAUC